rnacentral:rRNA from 1 species
UACGUAGGGCGCAAGCGUUGUCCGGAAUUAUUGGGCGUAAAGAGCUCGUAGGCGGUUUGUCGCGUCUGCUGUGAAAACCUGAGGCUCAACCUCGGGCUUGCAGUGGAUACGGGCAGACUAGAGGUAGGUAGGGGAGAAUGGAAUUCCCGGUGUAGCGGUGAAAUGCGCAGAUAUCAGGAGGAACACCGGUGGCGAAGGCGGCAUCCUGGACCGGCAUUGACGCUGAGGAGCGAAAGCUAGGGGAGCAAACGGG